AGUGAACGCUGGCGGUAGGCCUAACACAUGCAAGUCGAACGGCAGCACAGUAAGAGCUUGCUCUUACGGGUGGCGAGUGGCGGACGGGUGAGGAAUACAUCGGAAUCUACUUUUUCGUGGGGGAUGACGUAGGGAAACUUACGCUAAUACCGCAUACGACCUACGGGUGAAAGCAGGGGAUCUUCUGACCUUGCGCGAUUGAAUGAGCCGAUGUCGGAUUAGCUAGUUGGCGGGGUAAAGGCCCACCAAGGCGACGAUCCGUAGCUGGUCUGAGAGGAUGAUCAGCCACACUGGAACUGAGACACGGUCCAGACUCCUACGGGAGGCAGCAGUGGGGAAUAUUGGACAAUGGGCGCAAGCCUGAUCCAGCCAUACCGCGUGGGUGAAGAAGGCCUUCGGGCUGUAAAGCCCUUUUGUUGGGAAAGAAAAGCAGCAGGUUAAUACCCCGCUGUUCUGACGGUACCCAAAGAAUAAGCACCGACUAACUUCGUG
rnacentral:rRNA from 1 species